UUCAAGGCAGUUUAUUGACUGAGAGGGUUGCGAUCACGAGUGACUUCAACAAGUUUGUCGGUGUAGCGAGAAGCGUAUGUAGAUACUUGCUUGGUGGACAUGAAAAAUUCUCUCCGACUCAGAUGAUUAACACUGCUAGAACAAGUUUUGUGUGAGAGACUCGUGUUGUCGGAAAUACCCGCCCCAUCACGAUGCGUCGUUUUCAAAAAUUGCAAUGAAAGUGUGUAAAGCACAUAGAAAGUUCGUCAUCAAUGCAACAUCAUUGAUUUCGCAUAGUACAGGUUUAUGUUAUGGGCGUAUACGAUCGUGUAUGUGUAUUGUGAUAUCUAUAUCUGAUAAAUAUUAAAAAAAAUCAAAGGAAAUAAAGUAUAUAAAAGUCAUGACAUUUUUAGAAAACAUUAAAUAAAAUUUCAAAGAUAAAAUCUUUUCAACAGAUGAUACAACCGGUCAAUACAACCGCGAUGUGUAUUUUUCACAUUCUGUUGUUGUUAUUCGUAUCGUGAAAUAAUACUUAACACUAAAUUCAAACUUGUUGCCUUCUAAAUGGCAACAAGUUUGCGAACAAAACGCAAAAAGCAUAUUUGACUUA